rnacentral:rRNA from 1 species
UACGUAGGGUGCAAGCGUUAAUCGGAAUUACUGGGCGUAAAGCGUGCGCAGGCGGUCUUGCAAGACAGAUGUGAAAUCCCCGGGCUCAACCUGGGAACUGCAUUUGUGACUGCAAGGCUGGAGUGCGGCAGAGGGGGAUGGAAUUCCGCGUGUAGCAGUGAAAUGCGUAGAUAUGCGGAGGAACGCCGAUGGCGAAGGCAAUCCCCUGGGCCUGCACUGACGCUCAUGCACGAAAGCGUGGGGAGCAAACAGG